rnacentral:lncRNA from 1 species
GGAGUCAGGAUUAGAACCCAGGUCCUUCUGGCUCUCAGGCCUGUGCUCUCUCCAUUAGGCCACGCUGCUUCUUUUGACCCUGGGCUUCCUGACUCCAAGGCCUAUGCUCUGUCCACUGAGCCACAUUUCCUACUCCAAGAUGGGAGUCAGCAGGGGAGCUUGGGAGCCGUUUGUUGUAGACUCUGCUGACCACUUUGACAACCGCUGCCUGAAGACUAACAGGCUCCUACUGAAUCCCAGGGCCAGGAACGUCUGCUGUCGUCUUGAAGCGUGAGCCUGCGAUUCAGUCAUAUUUAUUGAGCGCUUACUGGGUGCAGAGCACUGCACUAAGCGCUUGGGAGGUUGGGAGAGUACAACAGAACAAUAAACAGACGCAUUCCCUGCCCACGACCAGCUGACAGUCUAGAGGACGAGCCUACAGUCUGGAUGAUGAGUUUAUUGGUCUCGUUGGUCCAGAUUAUAAACUCGGGCUGGGCAGGGAAUGUGUCUUAUCAGACGCAUUGUUGUGUUGUACUCUCCCAAGUGCUUAGUACAGUGCUCUGCACAGAGUAAGCACUCAGUAAAUCCGAUCGACUGACUGAUGCUUUUGCUUUCAAAACUGCAAAAUGCACCCGCACAUCCACACCCACACACCAGAAGAAAGCCAUGACAGUUGGCAAUGAGGUGUCUGGUUGUCUGUGUUAAAGCAGCAAAACAGUAGAUUUCCACAGGGUCA